rnacentral:rRNA from 1 species
ACUCAAAGGAAUUGACGGGGACCCGCACAAGCAGUGGAGUAUGUGGUUUAAUUCGAAGCAACGCGAAGAACCUUACCAGGUCUUGACAUCCCUUUGAAUAUCCUAGAGAUAGGGUAGGCCUUCGGGACAAAGGAGACAGGUGGUGCAUGGUUGUCGUCAGCUCGUGUCGUGAGAUGUUGGGUUAAGUCCCGCAACGAGCGCAACCCUUAAACUUAGUUGCCAGCAUUAAGUUGGGCACUCUAGGUUGACUGCCGGUGACAAACCGGAGGAAGGCGGGGAUGACGUCAAAUCAUCAUGCCCCUUAUGACCUGGGCUACACACGUACUACAAUGGCCGGUACAGCGGGAAGCGAAGCCGCGAGGUGGAGCGAAUCCUAAUAAAAACGGUCUCAGUUCGGAUUGCAGGCUGCAACUCGCCUGCAUGAAGUCGGAAUUGCUAGUAAUCGCGGAUCAGCAUGCCGCGGUGAAUACGUUCCCGGGUCUUGUACACACCGCCCGU